AGUUAGCAGUGCAGGAUCUUAUUCCGGAAGUGGUUCAUCACCUGGACACCUUGGAUCAGGAAAACCUUCUUACGGAAGUGGUGCAGGCGGAUCGCCUUAUGUUGGAGCUGGAGGUUCAGGUGGACCUGGAACGAUAGGAUUUGGAGGUGGCCCUUCGGGUUAUGGAGGAGCCGGAAGUAGCAGUGGUGCCUUUUCUGGAGCUUAUUCUUCAGCAGGAAGUCUUGCAGGCAGUGGGUCUGGUGUUGGAUUUGGAGGCCUACAUGGUGGUGCAGGAAU